CCCCCAUCAGAAGGACAGGAGCACCGCGUCGCAGAGAGCCUCAGGAGUCAUCACAGGUAAGUUUUGUUGCAUUUUGGCAGUGGUCUGUUGCGGCCGCUGGAAGUGGGCCACUUGCAACAAUUUUGUCCGGCCGGCGAUUGCAGGUUAGUUGUUCUUGGUAUCGGCAUCCAUCGCUGCCGUCAUUUGGUGAGUAUCAGUUGUAUCGUCGGUGGCAGUUUUAUGCAAUUGUUUGAAUAUAUUGCAGAUAAAAUUGCCGUUCGUCAGGAAGAGGAGUUGCAAUGAGUUGCCCCACGCAGCCGUCAUUGCAUUUCUUGAGAGCCGCUGUCUAUAUGGUGGUGGAGUCGUCUCGUGGCGAAGAAGUCAUCAGAGAGGAUUGUGGCUCGGUCUGUCACCGAAGGAAGCCAGGUGCGCCGCGUCUUGUGGCCAUAGCGUCAGGAUUGGCAGCUUGGGGCCGCCGUUUUAAGAUUUGUAGCAGAGAGCCGCCGCAACGGAAUAGCCAUGGAAAUGGAUGCAAAAAUAGUAUUUGGUACAUUGAGUGGAAUUAAUUUAAGGUACUUAAAAAGGAAGCUAGUCUGGGGUGAGUAUUUUAUUGCUUUUUUUAAUUGCGUUGAUUUAUUUGCUUUUCAGGUACGUUUUGUGAGGGCUAAAUUGGAGGCCCUUGUUAUUGUGUUGUUGCAGCUGGAAUGCCACGAUUUUGGAGUCAUCAAGUUGUCAAUUAGAUAAGUAUUAUAUUGUAAUUAUAUUUUUCCCAGUAAUAGCUUGUGUUCCCUUGUUUCAAUAGUUGUGGUCUUGGAAGCUGGAGCUGCGUGCUUGUCGUCAGCAGGAUGAGGCCGUCCACUAGCAUCUGCUACUUUGUCUGUCCGGUUUGUUAUUAUUUAUGUGUCCUUGAUAAUUUUUGUAUCGCAUUCUUAUUUAAUUUCCUUUCAUUACAGGUUAGCGGAAAAUUCGUCGAAGAUACAGAACUGAGGAGAAAUAUACAAUUUAAGGACAGGAUUUGCAGCAUUUUGAUGUGGCAUCUGCGCCAUGCAAAUUAUCCUUAUUUAUGCUUUGGCGUCAGGAGAUGGAGACGGCAUCCUAAAAUUGUCAAUUUUUUGUGUUUGAAAUCGCGAAAGUUGGCGAUUUAGUUUUGCUUUUGCGCUGCCUGUCUCCUGAUUUACGUGCGCUUCAUCGGCAGGAUGAGCUCGUCAGGUUUGCAUUUUUCUGUGUGUCCUUGAUUAGUUUUGUAUUAUAUUCUUAUUAAUUUUCCUUUCCUUUCAGGUUAUCAGGAAAUCAUUGAAAAAACGGUGCUGGGGAAAUUUAUACAAUUUGGAGACGGAUUUUAAUUAUUUUUAAUAUGAUGUCAGCUCCGGGAUAGUAAUCCUUGUUAGUGCAGUGGCAUCAGGAGGAGGAGACGGCGUUGUAAGAUUGUCAAUUUAUUGUGUUUAUAAUCACGAAGGAUGGCGAUUUUGUUUUUUCUUUGCAGGGCUCGUCUUCUCUUUUUGGUUGCGUUGGAUCACCAGUUGGCUGUGUUUGUUGAGGUUUUGGCGUCUCUAGUGUAGGCGCUCGUCGAUCUGAGGGAAUUUAAGAGUAGCGGAUGGAUAGAUUCUGCAGCUCCGCGCUAAGUGCCCUGAGCGAAGCGUAGGCAGCUUAUAUGGCCCGUCUAUUGCAGUGCAGCACUGCAAGUAGAUUGCAUCGGUGAUAAGAGAUACUAAUCGGGAAACGUGUGGCAAGAAAGUUCAGGAUCAGCUGGAAUGCGUUGUCUUGGGCUUGUUUAUCCAGGCGCGUUGAGAUAAAUUAGGCUGCGUCGAGGAAGGUGAUGACAGUGGAAGAAUUUGUAAGCAGACUGACGUGCGCUUUUCCAUCGGAUAGAUAUAUUAUUUAAAUAGAAAUAAGUAGAUGUAGAUUUAAUUGGAUGUGUCCAUGUCCAGCUUAUUGUUUAUUCCUUGAGUGAUUAAGGCCAUUAAAAUGUCAAUUUUCUUUUCUAA